rnacentral:sRNA from 1 species
AAAUAGGAAAGCUGCAAAACACUGUGGAGUGCUCCCGUGUAAAUAAAAAGAGGAAAAAAAAGUUUCUCAAGUCGCCGCUGCACGACGUCGGGCCGGCGCUGGGGCGGGGGUCUGCGCUCUCCCGAGCGGCCGCGCGCUGGACUUUAUUGUGCCGCAACCAGCCCCAGUUCCCAUUGUUUGUGUUUUUUUCAAAAUAUGGCAAAGGUUCAGGUGAACAAUGUAGUGGUGCUGGAUAACCCUUCUCCUUUCUACAACCCGUUCCAGUUCGAGAUCACCUUCGAGUGCAUCGAGGACCUGUCUGAAGACUUGGAAUGGAAAAUUAUCUAUGUGGGCUCUGCAGAAAGUGAAGAAUACGAUCAAGUUUUAGACUCUGUUUUAGUGGGUCCUGUUCCUGCAGGAAGGCAUAUGUUUGUAUUUCAGGUAAGAUUAUCUUGGUAAAUGUGUAUGCCAAAUAUGUUUCGAAGUAGACUAUAUUAUCUAUUAUCUUAUAACCCUUAUCCCUUUCCUUUUGGGUUAAAGAACUGCUUCUGCUGCAUUCACUUUUUAUCUGUUUCCAUCAUGUUUUAGGCAGUCU